rnacentral:rRNA from 1 species
UACGGGGGGGGCAAGCGUUGUUCGGAAUUACUGGGCGUAAAGGGCUCGUAGGUGGCCAACUAAGUCAGACGUGAAAUCCCUCGGCUUAACCGGGGAACUGCGUCUGAUACUGGAUGGCUUGAGUUCGGGAGAGGGAUGCGGAAUUCAGGUGUAGCGGUGAAAUGCGUAGAUAUCGUGAGGAAGACCAGUGGCGAAGGCGGAUCUCUGGACAGCUCCUGACGCUGAGGCGCGAAGGCUAGGGGAGCAAACGGG